GGAUAUGGAUGGAUGAGAUGAAAUCAUGGAAGAGGUGUGAUGAAAGGGGAAGAGGGCGUAGGGUUUUUCUUAAAAAAAUUUCCAAAGGAAUUCUUUUGCGUGGCCGCACUUCGUGCCUUUUUCCGCAUUCAAGCUUGCAUCUCACAAGGUCUGCUUCUACACUUGAUCACCUUACCAAAUCCACAGUCCUAGGGAAAAUGCCA
rnacentral:lncRNA from 1 species